GGAGAGGUGUCAGAGAGGUCGAAUGUGCCUGAUUCGAAAUCAGGUGUACCGCAAGGUACCGGGGGUUCGAAUCCCUCCCUCUCCG
rnacentral:tRNA from 1 species